rnacentral:rRNA from 1 species
UACGUAGGGGGCUAGCGUUGUCCGGAUUUAUUGGGCGUAAAGAGCGUGUAGGCGGCCAGGUAGGUCUGGUGUGAAAACUCGAGGCUUAACCUCGAGAUGUCAUCGGAAACCAUCUGGCUAGAGUCCGGAAGAGGAGAGUGGAAUUCCUGGUGUAGCGGUGAAAUGCGUAGAUAUCAGGAGGAACACCGGUGGUGUAGACGGCUCUCUGGACCGUAACUGACGCUGAGACACGAAAGCGUGGGUAGCAAACAGG